rnacentral:rRNA from 1 species
UAACGGCGAGUGAAGCGGCAACAGCUCAAAUUUGAAAUCUGGCCUUGUGCCCGAGUUGUAAUUUGUAGAGGAUGCUUCUGGCGACGCGCCUUCCGAGUUCCCUGGAACGGGACGCCAUAGAGGGUGAGAGCCCCGUCCGGUCGUGCGCCUAGCCUCUGUGAAGCUCCUUCGACGAGUCGAGUAGUUUGGGAAUGCUGCUCUAAAUGGGAGGUAUACGUCUUCUAAAGCUAAAUACCGGCCAGAGACCGAUAGCGCACAAGUAGAGUGAUCGAAAGAUGAAAAGCACUUUGAAAAGAGGGUUAAAUAGUACGUGAAAUUGCUGAAAGGGAAGCGCUUAUGACCAGACUUGGGCGCGGCGGAUCAUCCGGCGUUCUCGCCGGUGCACUCCACCGCCCCAGGCCAGCAUCAGCUCGCGCCGGGGGACAAAGGCUUCGGGAAUGUGGCUCCCUCGGGAGUGUUAUAGCCCGUUGCGUAAUACCCUGGUGCGGGCUGAGGUCCGCGCUCUGCAAGGAUGCUGGCGUAAUGGUCAU